rnacentral:rRNA from 1 species
GACGAACGCUGGCGGCGUGCUUAACACAUGCAAGUCGAACGGAAAGGCCCUGCUUUUGUGGGGUGCUCGAGUGGCGAACGGGUGAGUAACACGUGAGUAACCUGCCCUUGACUUUGGGAUAACUUCAUGAAACUGGGGCUAAUACCGGAUAGGAGCUCCUGCUGCAUGGUGGGGGUUGGAAAGUUUCGGCGGUUGGGGAUGGACUCGCGGCUUAUCAGCUUGUUGGUGGGGUAGUGGCUUACCAAGGCUUUGACGGGUAGCCGGCCUGAGGGGGUGACCGGCCACAUUGGGACUGAGAUACGGCCCAGACUCCUACGGGAGGCAGCAGUGGGGAAUAUUGCACAAUGGGCGGAAGCCUGAUGCAGCAACGCCGCGUGCGGGAUGACGGCCUUCGGGUUGUAAACCGCUUUCGCCUGUGACGAAGCGUGAGUGACGGUAAUGGGUAAAGAAGCACCGGCUAACUACGUG